rnacentral:rRNA from 1 species
UCGAGGAUCUUCGGCAAUGAGCGCAAGCUUGACCGAGCGACGCCGCGUGUGCGACGAAGGCCUUCGGGUUGUAAAGCACUGUCGAGGGGGAGGAAAGCCGCAAGGUCUGACCUAUCCCUGGAGGAAGCACGGGCUAGGUUCGUGCCAGCAGCCGCGGUAAGACGAACCGUGCGAACGUUGUUCGGAAUCACUGGGCUUAAAGGGCGCGUAGGCGGGCAUUCAAGUCAGGGGUGAAAUCCCCCAGCUCAACUGGGGAACUGCCUUUGAUACUGACUGCCUCGAGUAAGGUAGGGGCGUGCGGAACUGAUGGUGGAGCGGUGAAAUGUGUUGAUAUCAUCAGGAACUCCGGUGGCGAAAGCGGCACGCUGGACCUUCACUGACGCUGAGGCGCGAAAGCCAGGGGAGCAAACGG